rnacentral:misc_RNA from 1 species
UACGAACUGCGCGAACGUUAUUCGGAAUCACUGGGCUUAAAGGGUGCGUAGGCGGCUCUGCAGGUGGGGUGUGAAAUCCCUCGGCUCAACCGAGGAAUUGCGCUCCAAACCGCAGAGCUUGAGGAAGAUAGAGGUGAGCGGAACUCACGGUGGAGCGGUGAAAUGCGUUGAUAUCGUGGGGAACACCAGAGGCGAAGGCGGCUCACUGGGUCUUUUCUGACGCUGAGGCACGAAAGCUAGGGGAGCGAACGGG